GUCUACAGACAUGCCACCCUGAACAUGCCUGAUCUCGUCUGAUCUCAGAAGCUAAGCAGGGUCAGGCCUGGUUAGUACUUGGAUGGCAGACCACCUAGGAAUACCAGGUGCUAUAAGCG
rnacentral:rRNA from 1 species